GGCCCAAUGGUCUAGUGGUAAGAUACUUGCUUUGGGUCGUCAACCGUUGCAAGGGAUCCUGGGUUCGAACCCCAGUUGGGCCC
rnacentral:tRNA from 1 species